AGAGUUUGAUCAUGGCUCAGAACGUACGCUGGCGGCACGCCUAACACAUGCAAGUCGAACGCAGUAGCAAUACUGAGUGGCGAACGGGUGAGUAUAAUGUGGGUAUCUGCCUUUUGGUUUGGAAUAACACGAGGAAACUUGUGCUAAUACCGGAUAAGCCCUUACGGGGAAAGUUUUAACGCCAAAAGAUGAGCCUGCACUUGAUUAGCUAGUUGGUAAGGUAAUGGCUUACCAAGGCUACGAUCAAUAGCUGAUCUGAGAGGAUGAUCAGCCACAUUGGGACUGAGACACGGCCCAAACUCCUACGGGAGGCAGCAGUGGGGAAUCUUGCACAAUGGGGGAAACCCUGAUGCAGCGAUGCCGCGUGAGUGAAGAAGGCCUUUGGGUUGUAAAGCUCUUUCGUCGGGGAAGAAAAUGACUGUACCCGAAUAAGAAGGUCCGGCUAACUUCGUGCCAGCAGCCGCGGUAAUACGAGGGGUGCAAGCGUUACUCGGAAUCACUGGGCGUAAAGAGCAUGUAGGCGGGUAAUUAAGUUGGAAGUGAAAUCCUAUGGCUCAACCAUAGAACUGCUUCCAAAACUGAUUACCUAGAAUAUGGGAGAGGUAGAUGGAAUUUCUGGUGUAGGGGUAAAAUCCGUAGAGAUCAGAAGGAAUACCGAUUGCGAAGGCGAUCUACUGGAACAUAACUGACGCUAAGAUGCGAAAGCGUGGGGAGCAAACAGGAUUAGAUACCCUGGUAGUCCACGCCCUAAAC
rnacentral:rRNA from 1 species